rnacentral:lncRNA from 1 species
ACAUCAUUAAACAUUUUCCUAUAUUCCAGGUGCUAUUCUAAGCUAUUUACAUGUAUUAAUUCCUACAAACAUCCGGUAUUAUAUACUACUUUAAAAAAAAAUACAAAGAGAGGUUAAAUAUUUUGUUAAAGUCAUGUAGCUUGUAAAUAGAGGAUCUUGUAUUUAAAUACAGAAACUUUAGUUCCAGGACUAUAUUCUUUUUUUUAAAAAGUUUUAUUUAUUUUUGUUUCCCAACCAUUUUGUUGUUGUUGUUGUUGUUUUGGUACCAGGGAUUGAACUCAGGCCCUUGUGCUUACGCAGCAGGUGGCGAAACCACUGAGCUAAAUCCCCGGCCCCAGGACUAUAUUCUUAAACACAAAGCCAUCUCAUUACUACACAGUGUCUGAUUGGAAAGUUCCAUUUGAAAAUAUCUUGAGACGUGUAGUCUUUGGCAAACAUGACCAGCAGUAGUAGUAGACAUGUACUGUAAUUUACAGUAAUAAUGACCAGCACUCUACUCUUGAGGCAAAAUAUCCUGGGGUGAAAUGGAAAGUGGAAUGCGGUGUUAGCGUCCGAGCGAGAUCACAGCACAGGGAAGCACUGAUGACUUUGUCUCCAUCUCGCCCUUGUCCCUGCUCCGCGGGCUGCACUGGCUCUCCGCUUGUUCGCAUGCUGUCCUCGCUGAGUGGACCCCACGCUCGCUGUUUGCUGGGCCUUGUACCCACCUCACAGACUGCGCUCUGAAACACGGUGCUGUGCACACGAUUACAGCAUCCCUUCCCC